rnacentral:misc_RNA from 1 species
UGGCUUUUCCACACGUUUUUUUUUUGCUUCCUUCGCUUCUGAGCUCCGCAUCACAGGGAGGGGAAGGGGCUAUCUCUUCGCUACAUAUUGUGUCGAGGUUGCGAGAAUGCCUUUACAUGGGCGGCCACCACCAACGACUGCAGCGGCCGUUCAACGCAGCCCACGUGCAGUCCUUCACGUGUGGGCAUCGUUUUGACCCCGAGACUCCAUUGCUGCGUAUUUUCCUUCGUCUCGCUUUAUCACGCAACGUUCAGUGUUUGUGCUGCAACUGUCGUUCUUGGGCCCUCCCCCUUUCUCUUGGUUCGAAGUUGUGAAGGAAAAGGUGUCCCACCCACCCCACCCCCUCCUUUUCUGCGCUUUCGUGUACAAGUGCGUGCGCGUAUUUCCAAUGGUGCCGCUGGUCAGCACUCCUUGUUGCGCGCCACCAUUCAUUCUGUUAUUCCUUUGCGUGUCUGUGCGACGCGACGGCGACGCACAGACACACACACACACACAGACGGAGAAACCAGAAACAAAGAAGACUCCCUGCUCGUUGUUGUCGUCUUCCUUUCUCCUGUGAAUCGCCCCGAGCCGACACUCUUCGUCGUCUGCUCAUUCUGAAACUUCUCCCCCUGAACGGCGGCACGCGUUUCUGCACCCCUCUGCAUCUGAUGCACCGCCCCACGCCUUGAUGGAAGCACAUCGAUUCGGAUUUCGCGCAGGCGCAUCUGUGCUACAUCGUAGUGCAUAGUCAUGAAGAAGGUACAAAGCAAGAAAAAAAAACGACGCCCCUGAUGAGCGCAAUGGACGGCGCGGAAGAUGAAGCGCGGAUGUGCCUCUGCGGUUCCUUUUUCUCUCUCUCUCUCGUCUUUUUGGCCCCUUCCCCCACCCCCUCGCCGUGCCCUCAAACGAGGCCUGAGUACGACGUCUUCUUCGCGUUUUGCCUGCCCCUUCUCCUCUCCGUAG